rnacentral:misc_RNA from 1 species
GUGUGUGUGUGUGUGUGUGUAUUAUGCAUCAACAUUUUUGGUGGAAGUGUUGAUAGCAUUUGAGUAAUUAAUACAUUAGACAACAUGAUAUUGGGAAAUGGAUAUCUUGAUACUACAUGACCCAUGUUCUUUAUUAUUUAGUGAUUUAACUAACAAACCCUUACCCUGCUUAAGUUGUAAAGGGAGGGACUAAGAGAAAUAUUAUAAG